GUAUUAGUAAUAUAAUGUAAUCGAUAUAGAUUUAAUGUUUAUCUACUAUAAAUUGUAGUAUAAGCAAGUAUAUAAAGAAACUAUUAGGGAUACCUUGCUAUAUAUUAAAGAGAGUAAUAUUUUAAAUUGUGUAUAUAAACUUGACACAUGAACUCUUAGAUAAAUUCAGUAAUAAACGAAGUGAAUUGAAACAUCUUAGUAGCUUUAGGAAAAGAAAUCAAACGAGAUUCUACAAUUAGUGUGAAUUAAAGUAGAAGAGCCUAGAGUAUUAAAAGGAGAUAAAGGUUAAACUAAAUCUCUAUUAAUACUUUAAAUAAGUAGAACGGGCUAUAAACCUGUUUGAAUGUUAAGGGGAACCUUCCUCUAAGGCUAAAUAUAAUAUAUAAGCGACAGCGUAUAGUUCUGUGAAGGAAAGGUUUGAAUUAGUAGUUUUAUAAGCAGCUCAAGCAAAGUUUAAAUACUUAGUGAGAGCGUACCUUUUGCAUAAUGGGUCAGUAAGUUAAUGUUAGAUGCGAGCAGCAAUGCCUAGAUAAACCAAUUAUGAAAUAAUGAAUUAGUAUCUAAAAUUAGACCCGAAGCCUGGUGAUCUUACCAUAGUCAGGGUUAUAAAAGCCCGAACGGGUUAUCGUUGUAAAGAUAUCCGAUGAACCGUGGUAAGUUAGUGAAAGACAAAACUGACCAGGAUAGCUGGUUUUCUGCGAAACCUAUAGAAGUAGGUAAUUUAAGUAACAUCAUAGCAGGUACAGAACUGUGAUCUCAGGCAACUUUAAUAAAUAACAUGUUUAUUUGUGUUAUUUAUUAUUUUUGUAUAUAUCGGGGGAUCGUGAAGAUUUUAUCGGUGAGUAUUCGCACUCGGAAGGGCAAUGAUGAAUAUUAAAUAAUCAGACAUAGUACGCUAAGGUUGUAUGUCUAAAGGGAAACAGCCCAGAACAAGAGUUAAGGUUCCAAAAUUAAUAUUAAGUGAAAUUAAGGAAGUUUCUAUCUAAUACGACUAGGAAAUAGGCUUAGAAGCGGCCAUUUUUUGAAGACCUCGUAACAGAGCACUGGUUCAGUAAAUAGUUUACUAUUUACAUUGAUAGUGGCACCGAAAAUUUAACGGAUCUAAAUAAUAUACCGACACCUUGUCCAUAUUAAAACAUAAUAUUAUAUAAUAUGGGGUAGCGGAACGUUGGGUAAAUUUUAGACUACUUCUUAAAUAGAUUUAGAAAUAAAUGACCCAAGUGACAAUGCUGACAUGAGUAACGAAAAAGGGGGCAUGCCCCCCUCGCCUAAAGCUUAUGGAUUUUUUAAAGUAACGGCCUCUAAGUUUAUAAACCUAAAGGAUUAAACGAUGAGAAAAUCUUGUCUACAAAGUAACAACCUUUUAAGAAAAUAAAUUAAGAUGUUUCAUCUUAAACUUUUCUUAAGUGAAAAAGGUUCUGGAAAAACAGUAAAAACCUUUAAUAAAUAUUUUUAUAAAGGCGACAUAAUAACCGUACCUAGAGUCUACCACAAGUAAGCAAGUAGAGUAUACGAAGGCGUUUGAGUGAACAAUCAUUAAGGAACUCGGCAAACUAACUACCGUAACUUAGGGAUAAGGAGAGCCAUUCCUCCUGAUUAAUAUCAGGUAAAGAAUAGGAAGCAUGGAAUAGUGUUGUACGACUGUUUAAUUAAAACAAAGCACUCUGCAGUAAGAUAAUAAAUCAAAGUAUUGAGUGUGAUUUCUGCCCGAUGUCGGCUGGUUAACGGAUUAGUUAAGUUGACUAAUAUAAGCUUGACUUUGAAGGAAACCCCGAUCAAUGGCGGCCUUAUUUUGAGGGUCCUAAGGUAGCGGAAUACCCUGGCCGUUAAAUGCGGUCUUGCAUGAAUGAUUUAACGAUACAACAGCUGUCUCAAUGAUUGGCUCAGUGAAAUUGGAAUAACUGUGCAGAUACAGUUUACCUCUAGUUAGACGAGAAGACCCUAUGCAGCUUUACUGUUGCUAGUUAUUGGAUAUGAUUGAAUUAAUUUUAGUAGUAUAAGGUAAUUGGUUAGAUACAAUUGAAAUACCUUUAUUCUGUUUGUCAUAUUGAUAGAUUUAUUCUAUUUUCCUAUCUAAAGAUAGGAGAUUACCCCUAAUAUGUAGGGGAACAAUGGCUAGGAGGCAGUUUAUGCGGGGCACAGAUCCCAUAAAAAGUACCUGGGUGUAUCCAAAGUUAAUUUUGUAAAAUUGACAUGACUUACUUCUAAAUAUAUUAUUUGGAAAUAAGUUUUCAUGACUAACAAUACAUUAUAUAUUUAAUGUAUUUAUUUUUAGUUUGUUAUUUGGUAUAGCUUAUGCUAUAACUAAUCCAGCUAUUUAUCUAUUAAGUUAGAAAUAUUUUUUUAUCCAAGUAAGAUUUUAUCUAUAUGGAAAAUAGAUGUAAUUAAAACAUUGAAGUAGAUAUCUUUCCAAUGUUUUUUAAUUUUUUUAUUAGGUGUAUUUGGUGAAACCAAACUACAAAUUGCUAAUAAGAUAAUUAUGUUUAUUACUUGUCAAGUUUAAUGGCUUAAUCUUGCUUUACUGUUUGACUUACACGUCUAUCAGUCGCGUAAGCGGGGCAUAUGAUCACAAGAUGCAGAAAGGAAAGGUCUUGGAUUUAUGAAAAAGCUACGCUAGGGAUGUUAGUCCUCCAAUGUUUAAAUCUACCAGUAUUUAUUAUUGGUUUAUUAGAUUUAAA
rnacentral:rRNA from 1 species